rnacentral:rRNA from 1 species
CCUACGGGUGGCAGCAGUGGGGAAUAUUGCACAAUGGGGGAAACCCUGAUGCAGCGACGCCGCGUGAGUGAAGAAGUAUUUCGGUAUGUAAAGCUCUAUCAGCAGUGAAGAAAAUGACGGUACCUGAUUAAGAAGCCCCGGCUAACUACGUGCCAGCAGCCGGGGUAUCCGUAGGGGGCAAACGUUAACCGGGUUUACUGGGUGUAAAGGGAGGGGAGACGGCAGCACAAGUCUGGAUUGAAAAGCCGGGGCUUAACCCCGGAACUGCCUUUGAAACCGUGCAGCUAGAGUGCAGGAGAGGUAAGUGGAAUUCCUAGUGUAGCGGUGAAAUGCGUAGAUAUUAGGAGGAACACCAGUGGCGAAGGCGGCUUACUGGACUGUAACUGACGUUGAGGCUCGAAAGCGUGGGGAGCAAACAGGAUUAGAUACCCCUGUAGUC